UUUAUUAUGUCAUUUAUUAGUCUCUCAAACCUAUCUAACCUCUCUGCUCUCUCUCUAGGUCUCUAACCUUUUUCUCUUGCAGUUGUCUGACACUUAAAGCUCGACAACAACGACGGGGGUCGACGGCGCGAGGGCUUGACAAUCUGUCUCGCUGCUUUCGUCCUUGCAAGUCCAAUGGUGUGCGGGGUCAAGGUUGGGUGAACGGUAGUGCACGAUGUCGGGAUGGUGUUCAUCCAACCCCUCGUUUGCGACAGUGGUACUGGAAUGGUAAAGGUUUGCAUUUCAAAAUUCGGCAUCGUCUGCGGUCACACGAGUUCAGAGGUUGGGAAAUCGAUUGCUUGGGUUCAGAGAUUGGGUUAAGAGAUUGAGUUCAGAGAUUGGGAAUGGUGAAGGGCAAUAAGAAAGAAUGUGAAAAGCAAGAGGUUAAUUAAAGAUUGAUGAAGAUGGAAACUAGUACACGAUGUUUGUGUUGCUGUACGGAUUCUUAACAUUGAAUUUGCAUGUCUUUGAGCAAGCUAUAAUGCAGUGACGAUUAAAGAGGUAUGGCUGGAUUUUAUUUUGAUUUGUGGAUUGUCAUUAUAUUUAGAAAAGCUUUUUUUAUGUGCAUAUGGGUUACACAUACUUCUAUUACAACUAUUAUUUCAUUUGUACUAGUUGAAGCCACGGUUUAAAUGUUCUAAUAUGUAUGUCUUUAUCCAUUAAGUUCAAUUUUGUAUCUUUUUGUUAUAGUUUGUGUUUAUGAGAUGAACAUAGGCAUUUGUGCUCUCUAAAUUGCAUUCAUUUUGAGGACUAUAAAAGGUGCAGUUGGUUCUGAUGUUCUUUAUUCAAUUAUGUAAUUAUAAAUAUUAUCUUUUGGGUGACUUGCUAAUGCUUUUAAAUGUGUCAUCUUACGAGUCAGCUUUUCUCUUGUUUUUCUACAUAAUAGAUAUGGUUAACUGAUGUUCUUUAUUUUUUUUCUGUGGUUAUUUGAAUCUAUUAAAUGAAUUGUGCCAAAUUCUGCUCUAGCUUGUUAUGUGCCAGACUAUGUUUUGGCUUGUACAAUGAAUUGUGCCAGGAUAUGUUUUGGUUUGUAUGAUGAAUUGUGCCAAAUUCUACUUUGACUUGUUAUGUUUUGUUAUUAGCUUAUAUUGGUUAUGUUUAUUGUCAUUGAUUGGUUAAAAAGAAAUCCAAUAUAGCAUAUGUUAGUGUUGUACUUUGGAGUUGAGCUCCAUUAUUAAUGUAAUAUAUAUGUUUGCUGAAUCAGGUUUCUAAUUAAUUUAGUUGAUAAUUAAGCUAUGUUAAUAUGUUUUUUAUAGUUAAAAUUUGUUUAUCUGUAUGAUGAUAAAAAUGUGAUGGAUGACGUAGAGAGAUAAUAGAUAAUGUGUGAAACUUGAUGUAUUACUUGUACUCUUUUGAAUCUUUUCUUGUUCUAUACAUUUUCUCUGUUAUUGUUUUGUUUUUAGCAGAUACAAAUGGUAAAAAAAAAAGGGAAAAAAAAAGUCAUUUUUUGUGUACAUUUCGUUAGUAACUUAUACAUAUAAAUUUGUAAGCAUGUUUAUGAAUAAUCUGUAAAAUUAAUUGACUUCUUGAGUUUAGUUGUACUAACACAUCUUUUGAAUUUAUGAGAAUUUUUUUUUAAAUAUCCAAAUUCCAAACUAAUCCUCCUUUUUUGCACCAAAAAUUUACUAUAAACUAGUAAUUAUUUCUUUUAAUUUUCCCCCGAACACCAUGACUUAAGUGAUUAAGAGUUUGGGGUUUUGUAUCUGGUGAUCACUAGAAAUUUUAGAAUAUAGCUAGGCAAGUAGGUUUUUUGUCUGGUUAGUGGUUAUGACAACAUAAAAGUUGAUAUUCUAUUUAUUUGUUGCUGUAAAGUCUUUAAUUAAUUUUUGAAGAAAAAAAUUCUAAAAUACAUCUAUCGUGACUAACUUAUAAGUCACAUGGAGACUAUGGUAUCUUGUAUUUGGAUUAUUAAAAUAGAGACUAAAUAAGAUAUCCUUAAUACAUCUAUCAUGACUA